UGCCAGCCGCCGCGGUAAGACGUAGGGGGCGAGCGUUGUCCGGAAUCAUUGGGCGUAAAGGGCUCGUAGGCGGCUUAGUAAGUCGGCCGUGAAAACCCAGGGCUCAACCCUGGGACGCCGGUCGAUACUGCUAUGGCUUGGGUCCGGUAGAGGAGAGUGGAAUUCCCGGUGUAGCGGUGAAAUGCGCAGAUAUCGGGAGGAACACCAGUAGCGAAGGCGGCUCUCUGGGCCGGUACCGACGCUGAGGAGCGAAAGCGUGGGGAGCGAACAGGAUUAGAUA
rnacentral:rRNA from 1 species